ACAUUAAAAUUCUGUUCUGUUAUCAACAAAUUUUCCCCGUGAAAUUUCGAUAAUUUAUUCCUGUUGAUAGGCCUACUUUCUCCUUAAAAACAGUCAACCGUGUGUGUAGUCACGUGCCUUUGUCCGGACCAGUCAGCCGCAUGGAAAGCAUAAUGGAGGAUAACUCAAACACUGAGUCCGCAUGUCAACAGCACAAUA